UACGGAGGGUGCAAACGUUGCUCGGAAUUAUUGGGCGUAAAGCGCACGUAGGCGGACCAUCAAGUCGGAUGUGAAAUCCCUCGGCUUAACCGAGGACGUGCAUUCGAAACUGAUGGCCUUGAGUACGAAAGAGGAUCGCGGAAUUCCCGGUGUAGAGGUGAAAUUCGUAGAUAUCGGGAGGAACACCAGUGGCGAAGGCGGCGAUCUGGGUCGAUACUGACGCUGAGGUGCGAAAGCGUGGGGAGCGAGCCGG
rnacentral:rRNA from 1 species